rnacentral:rRNA from 1 species
UGGGGAAUAUUGCACAAUUGGCGCAAGCCUGAUGCAGCCAUGCCGCGUGUGUGAAUAAGGCCUUCGUGUUGUAAAGCACUUUCAGCUGGGAGGAAGGCGAUAAGGUUAAUAACCUCAUCGAUUGACGUUACCCGCAGAAGAAGCACCGGCUAACUCCGUUCCAGCAGCCGCGGUAAUACGGAGGGUGCAAGCGUUAAUCGGAAUUACUGGGCGUAAAGCGCACGCAGGCGGUCUGUCAAGUCGGAUGUGAAAUCCCCGGGCUCAACCUGGGAACUGCAUUCGAAACUGGGAGGCUAGAGUCUUGUAGAGGGGGGUAGAAUUCCAGGUGUAGCGGUGAAAUGCGUAGAGAUCUGGAGGAAUACCGGUGGCGAAGGCGGCCCCCUGGACAAAGACUGACGCUCAGGUGCGAAAGCGUGGGGAGCAAACAGG